ACCCGCUGAACUUAAGCAUAUCAAUAAGCGGAGGAAAAGAAACCAACAGGGAUUGCCUUAGUAACGGCGAGUGAAGCGGCAAAAGCUCAAAUUUGAAAUCGGCCUCCAGGUCGAGUUGUAAUUUGUAGAUUGUAUCUUGAGAGCGGAUUAAAGUCUGUUGGAACACAGCGCCUUAGAGGGUGACAGCCCCGUAAAAUCUGUUCUCAUUGUAAGAUACUUUCGAAGAGUCGAGUUGUUUGGGAAUGCAGCUCUAAGUGGGAGGUAAAUUCCUUCUAAAGCUAAAUAUUGACGAGAGACCGAUAGCGAACAAGUACUGUGAAGGAAAGAUGAAAAGCACUUUGAAAAGAGAGUGAAAAAGUACGUGAAAUUGUUAAAAGGGAAGGGUAUUGAAUCAGACUUGGUGCUGUUGUUCAACUGUGUUUUGGCACAGUGUACUCAGCAGUACUAGGCCAAGGUGGGGUGUUUGGGAGUGAAAAAGAAGUUGGAACGUAACUCUUCGGAGUGUUAUAGCCUACUUUCAUAGCUCCUCAGGCGCCUCAGGACUGCGCUUCGGCAAGGACCUUGGCAUAAUGAUUCUAUACCGCCCGUCUUGAAACACGGACCAAGGAG
rnacentral:rRNA from 1 species